GCUGGACUCUGAACCCCCUGGUUUGAUAGUUUAGCCUUUGUCAGAGUCAAUAUUGCUUCGUACGUUCAUCGCUGGACUUCGUAUCACAGCACAUUUUUGAACUUUUCCCGCCUUCAGGGUCCGUUUGUUACUAAAACCCUGAACAGUUUUGCGGCAUCUGUGUCUUACUGUUUCUUCAGUGUCUCCACAGAUUUCUUCUCCAUCUCCAGUCGGGCUGCUACCAGCUUCUUCACCUUGGCCUCAAACAGCUCCGCACCCCUUGGGGACAGAGAGGAAGAUUCACUAAAUUCACACACAAAUUGUCACCUGCAGCCUGCAGACAAGGAAAUACCCAUGUCUUCCUUACAAUUAAAGCCAUAUUACAGAGUUCUUUCCAAUACACUCCCAUUUGUAUUCACGCUCUCUGUAAACUGGAGGAUGACGAGCGUGUGUGGAGAACAGACCUGGAGGCCAAUAUCUUGGACGACUUGAGGUCCGACACCACGUAGAGGAAGUAGUAGCUGAGGAAGACCCUCCUCUGCGCCAGGAGCACAGUGAAACAGAUGGCGUCCCAGACGAUUCCGGCCUCGCCCUCCGGCAGCUCGCACUCAUCAUCAGGAACAGCUGACACGCGGGACAGGAGAAGUGUGUUGUAUAUGUACACGCUUUGAAUGACAUCAAGUCCAACACUUAUCUUAGUUUUAACAUUAAUCUGCGGAAAUAAAAUGAGUUAAGAUGCAACACACAGCUUCUUAUAAUAUUGUUAUGUGGCAUGAUUGUGACAGCUAGGUAGUGUAUAACAAAUU
rnacentral:lncRNA from 1 species